rnacentral:rRNA from 1 species
CUUCCACAAUGGACGAAAGUCUGAUGGAGCAACGCCGCGUGAGUGAAGAAGGGUUUCGGCUCGUAAAGCUCUGUUGGUAGUGAAGAAAGAUAGAGGUAGUAACUGGCCUUUAUUUGACGGUAAUUACUUAGAAAGUCACGGCUAACUACGUGCC